AACACAUGCAAGUCGAACGCAGUAGCAAUACUGAGUGGCAAACGGGUGAGUAUAAUGUGGGAAUCUGCCUUUUGGUUUGGAAUAACACGGGGAAACUUGUGCUAAUACCGAAUAAGCCCUUACGGGGAAAGUUUUAAUGCCGAAAGAUGAGCCCGCACUUGAUUAGCUAGUUGGUAAGGUAAAAGCUUACCAAGGCAACGAUCAAUAGCUGUUCUUAGAGGAAGACCAGCCACAUUGGGACUGAGACACGGCCCAGACUCCUACGGGAGGCAGCAGUGGGGAAUCUUGCACAAUGGGGGAAACCCUGAUGCAGCGAUGCCGCGUGAGUGAAGAAGGCCUUUGGGUCGUAAAACUCUUUCGUCGGGGAAGAAAAUGACUGUACCCGAAUAAGAAGGUCCGGCUAACUUCGUGCCAGCAGCCGCGGUAAUACGAAGGGACCUAGCGUAGUUCGGAAUUACUGGGCUUAAAGAGCUCGUAGGUGGUUAAAAAAGUUGAUGGUGAAAUCCCAAGGCUCAACCUUGGAACUGCCAUCAAAACUUUUUAGCUAGAGUGUGAUAGAGGUAAGUGGAAUUUCUAGUGUAGAGGUGAAAUUCGUAGAUAUUAGAAAGAACACCAAAUGCGAAGGCAACUUACUGGGUCACUACUGACAC
rnacentral:rRNA from 1 species